AUUGACAGAAGCGUCAAUUCCUGGGAGUAGUUCGUUGGUUUUCUUUCCCCUCAUCCUUUUGCCUGCUCCCGGCGAGGGGUGGCUUUGAUUUCGGCGAUGAGCUCCCAGAAAGGCAACGUGGCUCGUUCCAGACCUCAGAAGCACCAGAAUACGUUUAGCUUCAAAAAUGACAAGUUCGAUAAAAGUGUGCAGACCAAGAAAAUUAAUGCAAAACUUCAUGAUGGAGUAUGUCAGCGCUGUAAAGAAGUUCUUGAGUGGCGUGUAAAAUACAGCAAAUACAAACCAUUAUCAAAACCUAAAAAGUGUGUUAAAUGUUUACAAAAGACAGUGAAGGAUUCUUAUCACAUAAUGUGCAGGCCAUGUGCCUGUGAACUUGAAGUUUGCGCAAAAUGUGGAAAGAAAGAAGACAUUGUUAUUCCGAGUUGGAAGCUUUAGAAGGAGUUUCAACUCAGGAGUCACUGUCCCUUGAGUGAGACCCCACCUGUAUGGAGGAGCUGGUGAUUCUAUAUCUGCACUUAACAUUAUGGAGUCUCCCUCUGUUGCCCAGGCUGGAGUGCAGUGGCAGGAUCUUGGCUCACCACAACCUCCGCCUCCCUUGUUCAAGUGAUUCUCCUGCCUCAGCCUCUCGAGUAGCUGGGACUACAGGCGCACACCACCAUGCCCAGCUAAUCUUUGUAUUUUUAGUAGAGAUGGGGUUUCACUAUGUUGGCCAGGCCGGUCUCGAACUCCUGACCUCAUGAUCUGCCUGCCUCAACCUCCCAAAGUGCUGGAAUUACAGGUGUGAGCCAUCAUGCCUGGCCUAAUUUGUAUAUUUCUAAUGACUCAUGAUGUUGACUGAGCAUCUUUUCUUUUCUUUUCUUUUUUUUUUUCCUUGUUUUUUGAGAUGGAGUCUUGCUCUAUAGCCCGGGCUGGAGUGCAGUGGCACCAUUUCAGCUCAAUGCAACCUCUGCCUCCUAGGUUCAAGUGAUUCUCCUGCCUCAGCCUCCCGAGUAGCUGGGAUUACAGGCACACACCACCAUGCCCAGCUAAUUUUUGUAUUUUUAGUAGAAACAGGUUUUCACAAUGUUGGCCAGGAUGGUCUCCAUCUACUGACCUUGUGAUCCGCCCCCCUAGGCCUCCCAAAGUGCUGGGCUUACAGGCAUGAGCCACUGCACCCAGCCGACUGAACAUCUUUUCAUGUGUUUAUUAGCCAAUCCUAUAUCUUCACUGGUGAAAUGUCUAUUCAGAUGUGUUGCCCAUUUUAAAAAUUGGGUUGUUUUCUUACCAUUGAGUUAUGAGUCUUUUAUAUAUAUUCUAGAUACAAGUCCUUUAUCAGAUAUAAUUUGGAAAUAUUUUCUCGCUGUCUGUAAUGUGUUAUACAUCAAUUUUGAGAUAUCCUUCACAUUAAGAAACUAACGGUGUGGAUAAUAAUCCUGGUAUUGACAGAGGUUUGGACUCCUGAAGCCUGAAAGUCUAUCUGCUGCCACGCCUGGGCACAUACUGCAUCAUUUACAAAACUGUAGAGCACCUGUUGUGUGUGCAGUUGUGAUUUCUUAUAGAUUUUUAGAAUUGGAAGGCAUGUAAAGAACACGUAAUCUGGUACAUUGCUUCAGUAGGUAAGUCAGUAUGAACUUCUAAGAAUUUUUGUUUUCUUCUGUAUUGGGUCUAUUGUGGGUAUGUCCAACGUGACAGGGGAGGUAAGGGAAGUGGCAUCCCCUGAGAUAGUGACUGAAAUGGCUUUCAUCAUCUUUAAGUCAAAGUGAGAUGCCAGUAAUAGGAUAUAUGUAUGUAUGUACUUGUGUCUCUGUAUGUAUGUAAAUAAACAAACAUGCUGGAAGGAGGAGGUGAUUCAAUCAGGGACUUUGUGAAAGAAAAAAAGAAUAACUGGACCUUCCUUUAAUGAUGAAAACUGUUUAUACAGCAAACCAUCAAAGCCAAAAUGUGAAUUUUGGUAUUAGCCCGAUUUUUCCUAAGAAACUGUUGAUGUAACCACUGUAGUUGCAGAGAUCGUUUUGGUAUAUUCUAGACCCUCUUUGUUUUGUUCUGUUUGGGGUUUCUUCCCCCUCAAGUUGCUCUUGUCCACCACUAGACUGGCUGCCUUUUAUUCCAUAGCAGACAGUCCUUAAGUCUUUGCAUAUGUCCUUAUUCAAAAAUUAAUCUUCAUCAGUUUUUUUCUGCAGAAAACAGUUUUUUAAAUAUCUUACAUGAGAAUGCUCUGCACCUGCAAUCUCUGGUUGAUGCAGUUUCCUUUCUCUCUUCUCUGUUCCCAUUGGUAGAAUAAAUCUGCUCCUUCUUAAAUCCUGAGCUGAAAAUGUCCACACUUCCCAGAAGUGUACUUUAGAAUCACCUGUAACAUGUAUUUAAAAUACAGAUUCCCCAGCUCCACGGGCAAAGCUCUCCUGCCAUGUGACACCCUGAUACAGUUCAGGGAGCCACUAAGGCAGGCCAAAAUGGCUCAGCAGGCAAAGGUCCAAGCUGCCAGGGUAGUGUGUCAUUACAGCAUGCUUAGCAUAGCUAGGAGGACAGGCUCACACCCAGCCCCACAGCUGUUGCGCUACAGACUCAGGCACAGGGCUGUCUAACUGGCAGAUGUGGGCCACAACUGUUGGAGACAAGCCAGCCAUAUUUGGGAAAAUCUUAUUGUAAGGGGCAAGUGUGAGUGAGAUUUAGGAGUCAUGGGAAAAUACACCAACACAGUAAAUCUUGUGUUAUAGGAGAGAUGUGGAAGAAAGAGAUAAACUACUGGCCAGGGUGUCUCCUGACUGGGUGACUUGCCACCACAUGGGCCAGGCAGGUUGCGGCAGCUCUGCCUUUGGGAGGUGGCUGGAGGAGGGGAGGAGAGAGAGGCAUGAUGAAGACAGAUGCACCCUUUCCUGAGCAGGGGUUAACAUUCAGGGUGCCGAAAGGAAUUCCACAGCCUGUUUCCCAUCUCUCUUGUCCUCAUCAAGUACUGGUCCUCGUGUAUGUGUUCUGCUUCCGCUUUCUCAGGAUGUUUACGUUUUUGCAAAUACGUUUAUGGAAAAGAGUUACCUCACCCACCUCUCCAAACAUCUAUUUGUUUUACAUUUUUAUUGCGGGGGAGUGAUCUCUUUACAUAGCUUCAAAUGGCAUAACAUUCAGCAGUAUCCAAGCUUAGAUAUAUCUGAUGAGAGGAAAGUAAUUGUGAGGCCUUUGUUCUAGUUACAACUUUGUCACUAUCUGACUCCAUGACUCCAGCAAAUUGCUUCAACUGUCUGGCCUGCAGUUUUUUUCUUGCGUUAAAUAACAGACUUAGUCUAGAUCGGUGGUUCUUAUCAUGUGGUUUCUGGACUAGCAGCAUCAAUAUUACCUGGGAAACUUGUUAGAAAUGCAAAUUCUUGGGCUCUGCCCUAGACCUACUGAAACAUACUCUGUGGGCGGGGCCCAGCAAUCUGUGUUUGAAACGCGAUUCUGAUUAUUUGACAAAAGUUUGCAAACCACUGGUCUAGAUAAGUAGCUCUUAGCCUUGGCUGCACAUUAAAAUCAUCUGGGCAACUUUUAUAACCUACCAAUCCUGGCCUCUUCCUCCAAAGAUUCUGACUUAAAUGGUUUCAGAUGGGGACCAUUGUUAUGCGGUUAUAGCCGACGCCUAGGUGCUACCUGAGGUCUUCAAAGCUAAAGGUCAGUGUUUCCCAGCCGUAAAUGCAUACCUCUAGACCUGGCCUUCUCAAGCCACUAGGUGUUGCUAUAAUAGAGAAGAAAAGGCAUUUUCAGAACCGUCUUUGGAUAUGGAUGAGGAGGAGGAAAAUGUAUUUCUUAGCUUCUGAUAAGAGAUUAUUUUGUUAUUUUAAUCUGAGUGCAAUUUGCUAAAUAUUCAUUUGCAACUUGUUAAAUUUAUUCAAAGAAAUUAAAUGCCCAUAAGUGACAGAAAGAAUAAAGAAUUGUGAUAUAUAUUUACAAUAAAAUACUCUUUAGCAAUAAAAAGAAA